rnacentral:misc_RNA from 1 species
UUGAAACUUCGGUUCAGUUUGAUUUGGUGGUUUGGGCCAAUUUCAGGCCUGAUUUGUAGGGCCUUUUCUAAUCCAAAAAGGUAAGUAAAAAAGAACAAAUUUAAGCCUCCAUUUAUACAUUUGAGCCAAAUUUAAGCCAGCAUUUAUCCAUUUGAGCCUGCUGUACAAUUCAAAAGUUACAUAAACCAUACAAAAAUGCCCAAUUCUUCCCCAAGGAAUGAACAACAGCAAGUCAGCAA